GGUGAUAUGAAAAAGACUUUGUGGUCACCAAGAAGUUUUUGCAAGAAAUGCUUCCAAGAGUCAUCGUUGUUGCUUUUCUGAGGACUGUACUGAGGAAAUUUGUCAACUAAUGAGAUGGCGCGUUUAUAAAGUUCCACUGAAGCUAUUGCAUUCCAAUACGUCAUAUUCUGCUUCCUGGGUUAUGCAGGAGGAAACUGGAAGGAGAGAUCCGGCUAUAAUAAAGACCAAUCUUGAGGAGCUCAUGUGUCUUACCGUUUCUUGGACAAAGUAGAUGUAUGUGCCGAGGGAGUAUUCUGCUUCCGUCAACAACACACGAUUCCCCCAGCUGUGGAGUGUUUGAUAUAUUGCUGCAGAUCUCUGUGUAAGGCUUUCCAAACAUUCGCUUUGAAUGGUCGCUGAAGAUUGCAGCGACCAAGCCUUGGCAGCGACUGCGGCAAAAUGUGUUAAAAGGUACAGGGAAUGAACGGAAUUGACUACUGCUUUAGUUUCCUCCGUUAAGUAUUCACUUACCAACAUUGGGUUAUAACUCGAGUCUGUACAUUGCAAACCUACUGCUCAGUUUCUCCAACAGGAUAUAAUCGGACAGUAAUGGAAUACAAGGGAUACCUUAGAAAAUUUUUUGCCACGAGUAAUCUCCAUAUUUCAGUCAUCAUCAUCUCGACCGAGAGCCAAACACUCUUGGAAGAUUGCAUUAUCAAGUUCCCGUCGUUGGACAAACAUCGGCGCAUGAGAGGAUAACAACAUUAAAGAACGGGAGUGUAACAAUUUCCCGGACAGUCGAAAAAGCUGGACCUGCUCGGUUUAUAUAAUAGACAUCGGUUUAUAUAAUUAGGGAAAGUGGCAACCAAGAUACAUUGAAGUUUCCAACGUGCAUGUAGACAGUGAUCCACAGUUCAACAAAGCCCGUAGAUGCGGCUUCUCGGGUAAGCAGUUUCUGCCCCAUUCGGCUUCCAUUUUUAUAAAUAAAUGCUUGUUUAAUUUUA